rnacentral:lncRNA from 1 species
CGGUGCCUUUUAGUUCAUUGAUCUCUCAGAAUCCACAUAAACAUUGACUAGUAACCCGAUCCAAUGACUUAGAUUCAAAUUACAGCUGUGCAAAGACAAGUUCAGAUGGACACUAUCUUCAAAUUACAGCUGUGCAAAGACAUUGCAUUUAUUUUUUGAAGUGGUCAUUCAAAUACACACAACAGGAAUUUCAGAACCAACCAACGAGGUCAAAAACAUUUGUGUUAAAGGGUCAAAGAAACGAAGAUAAACUAACAACCAACAGCAUGUACAUCAGAGCUUCCUAAAGAAAGUAUACACAGGAACCGGAGAAUUGCUAACAAUCCUAUAUUCUGGAGCUAGAAACCAGAACAAAAAAAUGGACUCUCUGACAAGAACAAAAUGCGCUGAUCAUUGAUCAGUCGCGAUGGCAGAGAAGCAGAGCGACACAUCGUCGAAUGAUGUACAGCCUCGACUUCUGCUCCUUCAGCAUUCUACCAAUGCCGCCCCGGUUAUUCUUCUCUUGGCUCGUUGUCUUGUUCAUCAUUGGGUAGGAGGGCUUGCUUCCUCUUAAGAAUGGGCAGGCUGUGUUGAGUGGAAUCCUUUACUGUUUGCCU